UUUCAAUUUUUCAACAGAACAACUCAAACUUUCGUUCAAAAGUCCAAAUCAAAGACGAUACUCGCCAACCUUGCUCGCUGCUGCCUUAUUAUGGCAAAAUACCAGCCCUGCCCUGUACAAGCUUUUGUCUACCGUUGACCAAAGUGUGUGCCUUCCUUCAGUAAGACACCUCCAGCGAUUUGGACAGAACCUUUUGGUUGAGACUGGAAUCUCGCCAUCAACUGUCGAAUACUUGAAGAGCAGACUUUCAUCCUUGAAUGAACGUGAGAAAAUUGUCAGCGUCAUAUUCGACGAAGUUUACAGUUCUAGACGCUGUGAAUAUUCAAACGGCCAUUUCUAUGGCUAUGAUGAAGAACAAGGCACAUCUAAGACCGUUUUGUGCUUUAUGUUGACUGGAGUUGCUUCGUCUUAUCGAGACAUUGUGUGUAUGGUUCCUCUGUCGAAAAUCAACCACUAAAUCAUCGGCCAGUGGUGGUGGAAAGUUGUUGAGGCAGUGACAGCCAUUGGAUUUCGCAUCGUUGCAUCAAUUUCUGACGGACAUUCAUCAAAUAUAAAGUUUUUCACCGAUGGGUUAAACUGUGGCGAGAAUUCAAGCUUUGUUAGGAAUCCAUUUGCUGAAGCGCCAAAUGACAAAAUAUUUCCCUUCUUUGAUACAAUUCACAUCAUUAAAGGACUUUAUACAAACCUCCUGAACAAGGGAGAAUUCGAGUGCCCAGCUUUUCAAGACCGAUGUGUUAACCCGAAGACGUCCCAUUUCUGUGAACUAUACAAAAGUGAACUUGGGGCUCCAAAUCGUUAUGCACCAAAGCUAAGCCAUAAAGUUCUUUUCCCAUUACCAAUUGAACGAACCAAUGUCAACUUGGCUGUCAAAUUCUUCCAUGAAUCGACUGAGGCAGCUUUGAAACACUUCUCUCUGGCCAAAGGACAAUUGGAAUGGGCCAUGUCAUCAGCUUUUGUUAAUAUUGUUCGUCGCUUCUUCAACUGUAUUAAUGUGAAAAGCUCCCACUUUGAGCGCCGAAAGCGUGAUGGAAGCCGAAAAGCCGUGUACAGGGAAGAUCAAAGCCAACUUGAAUUUCUCCGUGAUUUCUUGCAGUGGAUUGAAGAUUGGAUGAAAAUGAAAACAAAGAAGAAAUUGUCAUCAGAAACUUUCUUCACAUUGCGCUUCACCGUCAGAGGCCUAAUAGAACUCUCCAAUUACAUUUUCAACACAACAGUUGCGUCGUUCUUGCAAUUAUUAAAUCGAGGUGGACUAAUUUGCCCUUCAGAAUUGGUAUUCCUAACCACCCUCUUUGUAAUCAAGUUACGCAAUGAAAUCUUCAACACUGAAACGGUUAAGAAGGUUCUCAUGGAUUGUACGGAUCCAUUGACGGUUUUUGUGCUGUGUUUUGAAAGAAGACUUUAUGCCUCAACUCGGAUGCACGAAAUUCUGAACCAAUUUUGUGCCGAGGAACAUUCUUUUUUGUCGUUUGUAAAGAGCAUUGCUGAGAUGACAUUUCAUUUCACUGGUAAAAACUUUGCCUCCGAUAUCAAUGACAAUGUUCACGAGAAUAGAAAACGGGGCAGUCGUCCUCAAACUUCACCAGCCGAACGAAAAAUCAAGAAGCUGUCUAGCAACUAAUAUUACUUAUACCCAUGAAUGAGCAUUUUGAGCCCAAACCUAAAAAUAUACCACACGAAUCUUUCUCUUUAA